GAUGAACGCUGGCGGCGUGCCUAACACAUGCAAGUCGAGCGGACGGACGAGGCUUUUGCUUGUCUGAUGUUAGGGGCGGGGGGGUGAGUCACAUGAGUAUACCCUACCUAUAAGACUGAGAUCACUACGGGACAGCGGAUAUAACACGGGAUGAGCUUCUGAAGCGCGGGGGUCGUCGGAAAGAGACGGUCUUGCUGGCACUUAUCGAGGGUUCCGGGCUGCAUGAGCUAGUUGGUACGGUAACGGCCUACCAAGGCUACGCUGCAUAGACGACCUGAGAGGGUGAUCGGCCACACUAGAACUGAGACACGGUCCAGGCUCCUACGAGAGGCAGCAGUAGGGAAUGUUACGCAAUGGGCGAAAGCCUGACGCAGCAACGCCGCGUGUGUGAUGAAGGUCUUCGGAUCGUAAAGCUCUGUUACUGGGGAAGAACAGAUGUGUAAGUAGCCGUGGCGAUCUUGACGGUACCUAAUCAAAAAGCACCGGCUAACUACGUG
rnacentral:rRNA from 1 species